UACGUAGGGGGCGAGCGUUGUCCGGAAUUAUUGGGCGUAAAGAGCUCGUAGGCGGCUUGGCAAGUCGGGUGUGAAAGCCCCGGGCUCAACCUGGGAAUUGCAUUCGAGACUGCGUAGCUAGGGUGCGGAAGAGGGAAGCGGAAUUUCCGGUGUAGCGGUGAAAUGCGUAGAUAUCGGAAGGAACACCAGUGGCGAAAGCGGCUUCCUGGUCCAGCACCGACGUUCAGGCACGAAAGCGUGGGGAGCAAACAGG
rnacentral:rRNA from 1 species